GUGGAGACCAUGCAUGACUUUGAGGCUGCAAAUUCAGAUGAACUUGACCUGAAGAGAGGCGAUGUGGUUUUGGUGGUUCCCACUGCCUCAGCGGAAGAUCAGGAUGCCGGCUGGCUCACAGGGAUCAAGGAAAGCGACUGGUUAACAUUUGGAGCUGGUGCUCAAAAAGGACUUUUCCCAGAAAACUUUACUCAACAUUUGGAGUAAGAUGUUCCCUGACAUAGCAAAAUGACAAGUAGAAACAUGAGGAAUCUGUGUCCCAGCCAUUGAAUCAGCAUGUAGCCAUUCCCUUUCUUGUAAGUUUUACCUGCUGCAACUGUCUGCUGGACAACAAUAAAGUUUCACUGGCAGGUGAAACUGUACUAAAAUGAAAUGUUAUUGUUUAAAAAAAAGAAAAAAAGAAGAGAGAGAGUAGUACUCUUCCCAGUUCCCCUGAUGAUUUAAGCAUGGUGUGGUAGUAUGUUCCACCCUCCUGUGGAAGUAAGAUAUGCCUUUUGUUUAAAUAGAAAAAUCAUAUAUAAAACAAUAAUAACUCGACAACAAAAAGCUUGAAGUGAUUUCAGGUGAAAACAAAGGAAAAAGAUAAACUGUCUUUGCAGUAAGUGUGUGGUAAUCAUUUUGUUUUGCUAUGAAAGGCUACAGAAACUUCAAUGCUGUGAUUGUCUUUUUGAGUGCAACAUGAAACUUGGGUUUCUUUUUUCUGACACGUUGUAACUGUAACUCUUGAAUCACUGUUGAUGUUUUCUGUGUUAUCAUUAUUGGGUGUGUGGUGAUUGAUGAAUUAACUCACUGGCCAGUGUUGCUUUGGUUCUGCUAAGGGGAUACUGAUGUUUAUUGUCUGGGUUUUGGCACACAAAGUAGUGCAAAUGCUGCAUGAAAAUCCUAAAUAUUCAAAGUACAUAUACUAAAGAUGACAAAUAAAGAAUUACUUGUGUGUUAAGCAUAGAUUUGUGUAUGGCAUAUCAUCUGAAAAUUUGGUUACAAGGAAAAAAAAAAUCAAAUAAGGAAAGUUUUUGUCAGCGGUUUAAGUGUUUCAUCAAAUAGAAGGUAUUAACAAACCAGUCUGAAAUUAUUUUUUUAGGCUUCAGAAAAAUUACUCUUAUACUCCAGAAAAUUUAAACCUUCAUCAAACUAGUUUUGAUAGCCAGGUGAAGCCUCCCAGUAGACCUUUAUCUGAUGCACACAGCCUUGAGAUAAUAUUGGUGUAAUGAAUUCAAUAGUAAAUUCCAUGUUUGAUAUUGUAUAUGGUUCUAUGCUAAUAAAAUAAAUAAUAAAACAUUGUUUCAAUCAA